GAUGAAGAACGUAGCGAAAUGCGAUAAGUAGUGUGAAUUGCAGAAUUCAGUGAACCAUCGAAUCUUUGAACGCACAUUGCGCCCUUUGGUAUUCCAAAGGGCAUGCCUGUUCGAGCGUCAUUUGUACCCUCAAGCUUUGCUUGGUGUUGGGCGUUUUGUCUCUAGCUUUGCUGGAGACUCGCCUUAAAGUAAUUGGCAGCCGGCCUACUGGUUUCGGAGCGCAGCACAAGUCGCACUCUCUAUCAGCAAAGGUCUAGCAUCCAUUAAGCCUUUUUUUCAACUUUUGACCUCGGAUCAGGUAGGGAUACCCGCUGAACUUAAGCAUAUCAAUAAGCGGAGGA
rnacentral:misc_RNA from 1 species